rnacentral:misc_RNA from 1 species
GCUACCCUCUCUUCAACUCCCUCUCAUAAUUGUUUCUCAAAUAAAAAAUCACAAGGUAUUUAAGGGAAAUAUCUUAAAAUUUAACAUAAGUUACAAGUCCAACACCCAACUGCUUAGAAUCAAGCUCAUAUUUCAAAAUAUGUAUAUCAAAUCAAAUUGAGACUAAGAGUUCAACCAAUCAUAGUUUCCUCAAGAUUUCAAAUAAAAUCUAUUAAGUUUAAAAAAAAAAAAUCCUUAAAAAUCUGCUUUUAU